UCAAGCGAACAAGUGCAUGUGGUGGAUGCCUUGGCGAUCACAGGCGAUGAAGGACGCGGUAGCCUGCGAAAAGCUACGGGGAGCUGGCAAACGAGCUUUGAUCCGUAGAUGUCCGAAUGGGGAAACCCACUCCUUUUGGAGUAUCCAUGACUGAAUACAUAGGUCAUGUGAAGCGAACGCGGUGAACUGAAACAUCUAAGUAACCGCAGGAAAAGAAAUCAACCGAGAUUCCCAAAGUAGUGGCGAGCGAAAUGGGAAGAGCCUGUACUCUUUAUUUGUAUUGUUAGCCGAACGCUCUGGAAAGUGCGGCCAUAGCAGGUGAUAGCCCUGUAGGCGAAAACAGUAUGAAAGAACUAGGUGUACGACAAGUAGGGCGGGACACGUGAAAUCCUGUCUGAAGAUGGGGGGACCAUCCUCCAAGGCUAAAUACUCGUGAUCGACCGAUAGUGAACCAGUACCGUGAGGGAAAGGUGAAAAGAACCCCGGGAGGGGAGUGAAAUAGAUCCUGAAACCGCAUGCAUACAAACAGUCGGAGCCUCGUAAGGGGUGACGGCGUACCUUUUGUAUAAUGGGUCAGCGACUUACGUUCAGUAGCAAGCUUAACCGAAUAGGGCAGGCGUAGCGAAAGCGAGUCCGAAUAGGGCGUUCAGUUGCUGGGCGUAGACCCGAAACCAAGUGAUCUAUCCAUGGCCAGGAUGAAGGUGCGGUAACACGUACUGGAGGUCCGAACCCACUAACGUUGAAAAGUUAGGGGAUGAGCUGUGGAUAGGGGUGAAAGGCUAAACAAACUUGGAAAUAGCUGGUUCUCUCCGAAAACUAUUUAGGUAGUGCCUCGUGUCUCACCUUCGGGGGUAGAGCACUGUCAUGGUUGGGGGGUCUAUUGCAGAUUACCCCGCCAUAGCAAACUCCGAAUACCGAAGAGUGCAAUCACGGGAGACAGACAUCGGGUGCUAACGUCCGGUGUCAAGAGGGAAACAACCCAGACCGCCAGCUAAGGUCCCCAAAUAUGGCUAAGUGGGAAACGAAGUGGGAAGGCUAAAACAGUCAGGAGGUUGGCUUAGAAGCAGCCACCCUUUAAAGAAAGCGUAAUAGCUCACUGAUCGAGUCGUCCUGCGCGGAAGAUGUAACGGGGCUAAGCCAUAUACCGAAGCUGCGGAUGCGAGCUAGUCUCGCAUGGUAGGAGAGCGUUCCGUAAGCCUGCGAAGGUGCAUUGUAAAGUGUGCUGGAGGUAUCGGAAGUGCGAAUGCUGACAUGAGUAGCGAUAAAGGGGGUGAAAGGCCCCCUCGCCGUAAGCCCAAGGUUUCCUACGCAACGUUCAUCGGCGUAGGGUGAGUCGGCCCCUAAGGCGAGGCAGAAAUGCGUAGCUGAUGGGAAGCAGGUCAAUAUUCCUGCACCAUUGUUAAAUGCGAUGGGGGGACGGAUCGCGGAAGGUUGUCCGGGUGUUGGAAGUCCCGGUCGCUGCAUUGGAGAAGGCGCUUAGGCAAAUCCGGGCGCGGAAUUCAAGGGUGUGGCGCGAGCUUCUUCGGAAGCGAAGCAAUCGGAAGUGGUUCCAAGAAAAGCCUCUAAGCUUCAGUUUAACAGUGACCGUACCGCAAACCGACACAGGUGGGCGAGAUGAGUAUUCUAAGGCGCUUGAGAGAACUCGGGAGAAGGAACUCGGCAAAUUGGUACCGUAACUUCGGGAUAAGGUACGCCCCUGUAGCUUGACUGGCCUGCGCCAGAAGGGUGAAGGGUUGCAAUAAACUGGUGGCUGCGACUGUUUAAUAAAAACACAGCACUCUGCAAACACGAAAGUGGACGUAUAGGGUGUGACGCCUGCCCGGUGCCGGAAGAUUAAAUGAUGGGGUGCAAGCUCUUGAUUGAAGUCCCGGUAAACGGCGGCCGUAACUAUAACGGUCCUAAGGUAGCGAAAUUCCUUGUCGGGUAAGUUCCGACCUGCACGAAUGGCGUAACGAUGGCCACACUGUCUCCUCCCGAGACUCAGCGAAGUUGAAGUGUUUGUGAUGAUGCAAUCUCCCCGCGGCUAGACGGAAAGACCCCAUGAACCUUUACUGUAGCUUUGCAUUGGACUUUGAACCGAUCUGUGUAGGAUAGGUGGGAGGCUAUGAAACCGGAACGCUAGUUUCGGUGGAGCCGUCCUUGAAAUACCACCCUGGUUUGUUUGAGGUUCUAACCUUGGCCCGUGAUCCGGGUCGGGGACAGUGCAUGGUAGGCAGUUUGACUGGGGCGGUCUCCUCCCAAAGUGUAACGGAGGAGUACGAAGGUACGCUAGGUACGGUCGGAAAUCGUGCUGAUAGUGCAAUGGCAUAAGCGUGCUUAACUGCGAGACCGACAAGUCGAGCAGGUGCGAAAGCAGGUCAUAGUGAUCCGGUGGUUCUGUAUGGAAGGGCCAUCGCUCAACGGAUAAAAGGUACUCUGGGGAUAACAGGCUGAUACCGCCCAAGAGUUCAUAUCGACGGCGGUGUUUGGCACCUCGAUGUCGGCUCAUCUCAUCCUGGGGCUGUAGCCGGUCCCAAGGGUAUGGCUGUUCGCCAUUUAAAGAGGUACGUGAGCUGGGUUUAAAACGUCGUGAGACAGUUUGGUCCCUAUCUGCCGUGGGCGUUGGAUAUUUGAAGGGGGCUGCUCCUAGUACGAGAGGACCGGAGUGGACGAACCUCUGGUGUACCGGUUGUCACGCCAGUGGCAUCGCCGGGUAGCUAUGUUCGGAAGAGAUAACCGCUGAAAGCAUCUAAGCGGGAAACUCGCCUUAAGAUGAGAUAUCCCCGGGGACUUGAUCCCCUUGAAGGGUCGUUCGAGACCAGGACGUUGAUAGGUCAGGUGUGUAAGCGCAGUAAUGCGUUCAGCUAACUGAUACUAAUUGCCCGUAAGGCUUGAUCCU
rnacentral:rRNA from 1 species